rnacentral:rRNA from 1 species
GUGGGGAAUCUUGCGCAAUGGGCGAAAGCCUGACGCAGCCAUGCCGCGUGAAUGAUGAAGGUCUUAGGAUUGUAAAAUUCUUUCACCGGGGACGAUAAUGACGGUACCCGGAGAAGAAGCUCCGGCUAACUUCGUGCCAGCAGCCGCGGUAAUACGAAGGGGGCUAGCGUUGCUCGGAAUUACUGGGCGUAAAGGGCGCGUAGGCGGACAGCUUAGUCAGAGGUGAAAGCCCAGGGCUCAACCUUGGAAUUGCCUUUGAUACUGGCUGUCUUGAGUUUUGGAGAGGUGAGUGGAACUCCGAGUGUAGAGGUGAAAUUCGUAGAUAUUCGGAAGAACACCAGUGGCGAAGGCGACUCACUGGCCCAAUACUGACGCUGAGGCGCGAAAGCGUGGGGAGCAAACAGGAUUAGAAACCCUGGUAGUCC